GAUGAACGCUAGCUACAGGCUUAACACAUGCAAGUCGAGGGGCGAUCAGUUUGGUUUGCUUGCAAACCAAAGCUGGCGACCGGCGCACGGGUGAGUAACACGUAUCCAACCUGCCGAUAACUCGGGGAUAACCCUUCGAAAGAAGGCCUAAUACCCGAUGGCAUAUCCCUUCCGCCUGGUUGGGAUAUUAAAGAACUUCGGUUAUCGAUGGGGAUGCGUUCCAUUAGCUUGUUGGCGGGUAACGGCCCACCAAGGCUUCGAUGGAUAGGGGUUCUGAGAGGAAGGUCCCCCACAUUGGAACUGAGACACGGUCCAAACUCCUACGGGAGGCAGCAGUGAGGAAUAUUGGUCAAUGGACGAGAGUCUGAACCAGCCAAGUAGCGUGAAGGAUGAAGGUCCUAUGGAUU
rnacentral:rRNA from 1 species